UCACCUGUUUUUCAAAAACAUGUCUUAUAGAAAAUAAUAUUAAGUCAAAUCUGCUCAAUGAAAAAUUAAAUAGCUGCAGUAUUUAUAACUGUACAAAGGUAGCAUAAUAAUUAGUUUUUUAAUUAAAAACUAGAAUGAAAGAUUUAAUGAAAUAUAAACUGUCUCAAACUUAAAUAAUAAAUUUUUUUUUUAAAUAAAAAAAUUUAAAUUUUAUUUAAAGACGAGAAGACCCUAUAGAAUUUUUAUUAUAAUUUUAUAAUUAAUAAAAUUAAAAUUUUAAUUGGGGAAAUUUUAAAAUUUAAAUAAUUUUUAAUUUAAUUAACAAUUAUUUUUGAACAAAAUAUUUUUUUUAAAAAAAUAAAUUAAAUUACCUUAGGGAUAACAGCAUAAUUUUUUUAAAAAGUUCAAAUUUAUAAAAAAGUUUAUGACCUCG
rnacentral:rRNA from 2 species